ACAAUGGAGAGUUUGAUCCUGGCUCAGGAUGAACGCUAGCUACAGGCUUAACACAUGCAAGUCGAGGGGAAACGACAUCGAAAGCUUGCUUUUGAUGGGCGUCGACCGGCGCACGGGUGAGUAACGCGUAUCCAACCUGCCCACCACUUGGGGAUAACCUUGCGAAAGUAAGACUAAUACCCAAUGAUAUCUCUAGAAGACAUCUGAAAGAGAUUAAAGAUUUAUCGGUGAUGGAUGGGGAUGCGUCUGAUUAGCUUGUUGGCGGGGUAACGGCCCACCAAGGCUACGAUCAGUAGGGGUUCUGAGAGGAAGGUCCCCCACAUUGGAACUGAGACACGGUCCAAACUCCUACGGGAGGCAGCAGUGAGGAAUAUUGGUCAAUGGACGAGAGUCUGAACCAGCCAAGUAGCGU
rnacentral:rRNA from 1 species